GUCUACGGCCAUGCCACCUUGAACAAGCCCGAUCCCGUCUGAUCUCGGAAGCUAAGCAGGGGAGGGCCUGGUUAGUACUUGGAUGGGAAACCACCUAGGAAGACCAGGUGCUGUAGGCG
rnacentral:rRNA from 1 species